rnacentral:misc_RNA from 1 species
AAGUCGUAACAAGGUUUCCGUAGGUGAACCUGCGGAAGGAUCAUUCAUAAUCAAGUGUUUUUAUGGCACUUUCAAAAAUCCAUAUCCACCUUGUGUGCAAUGUCAUCUCACUGGAGAUCAACGGCUGUAAAAAUCCGUUGGUCAUCUUUGGGAUUUAUAUCUACUCAGAACUUUAGUGAUUUUGUCUGAAACAUAUUAUGAAUACUUAAUUCAAAAUACAACUUUCAACAACGGAUCUCUUGGCUCUC